UACGUAGGUGGCGAGCGUUGUCCGGAUUUACUGGGCGUAAAGGGAGCGUAGGUGGUCUUUUAAGUGGGGUGUGAAAUCCCUGGGCUUAACCCAGGAAUUGCAUUCCAUACUGGGAGACUAGAGUGCAGGAGAGGAAAGUGGAAUUCCAAGUGUAGCGGUGAAAUGCGUAGAGAUUUGGAGGAACACCAGUGGCGAAGGCGACUUUCUGGACUGUAACUGACGCUGAGACGCGAAAGCGUGGGGAGCGAACCGG
rnacentral:rRNA from 1 species